rnacentral:rRNA from 1 species
UACAGAGGUCUCAAGCGUUGUUCGGAUUCAUUGGGCGUAAAGGGUGCGUAGGCGGCAAGGUAUGUCGUGCGUGAAAUCUCCCGGCUUAACUGGGAGGGCCGUGCGAAACUGCCUGGCUUGAGGUCGGAAGGGGAAAGUGGAAUUCCGGGUGUAGUGGUGGAAUACGUAGAUAUCAGGAGGAACACCGGUGGCGAAGGCAGGAUCUCUGGGCCUGUCCUGACGCUCGAGGCGACGAAAACGUACGGGAGCAAACAGG